UGGGUGGGGGCUCCGGGGUGAUGAGAGGAGGGCGCUGUUGCAGUGCAGGGUGUUUCCCGAGGUGUUGGGCGGGGCCUCUCAGGGAAGCUCUGGGGCGAGGGUCAGCACCCCUUGCGGUGCGGGGUUGCCUCUGUGUCCUCUCAAGGGUCAGAGGUCGGAUGGGGAUCCAGCUCCUGCCAGGCAGGCUCUGAUCCACACACUCGGGGCUGGUCUGGGGCCCUGCCUCAGUGUCCCGUGUGCCUGCAGAUUCAUCAGUGACGGCGUUGUCUCUGACCGCCCUGGGGAUCCAGGUCUCCCUAUGUAGCCCAAGCUGGCCUCAAGCUUGUGAUCCUCCUGCCUCAGCCUCCGAGUACCUGGGAUUACAGGUGUGCACCACCACGCCUGGCUUGGAAGAAACUCUUACUGAGCCUCCAUGUGGCACGCGAAGCUCUAAGCUGGAAACACGCAGCCAGGGGCUUAGCUGCUCCUGCUGCUGAGCUACUGAACUAGAGGCCGGGUCAGAUGCAGCCACCCCUGCUUUGCUGUCUUCAGGUGAUUCCGGUGCAGGUGUGAAAGUCCUGUGUCACCGCGUGGAGAACACCCGCCUGGCAGCCCUUCUGCCCCAGGCGUCACGUCCCACGCCCCACGCCCCAGCCGUGGGAGAACCGUGCACCAGCCCUCGGGUGACAUGGACCAGAGAGGCUGCAGCCACGUCGCGUCGCUCCCUUUCUCCUCCUGUGUGACGCAGGGCUGGGCCCGGAGGAGGAGAAGGACGCAGGGUUUGUGGGACAGGGCGUGAGGACCGGAGGAGGGCCCGCCCACCACACCUGUGAUUGUGAGGCCGAGCCCCAGUCCCACCAGAGCCAACGUAAAGACAGCCCGGCUGCUCACUUCCCUGGGCCCCCUUCCUCCCCCUGGGAGAAAAGUGAGACCCAAUGAGGACUUCCAGGCUGAAAGGGGACUGAGGGCCACACAUGGGCUAGUCCUGUGUGGCCAGGGCAGCCAGCGCCAAGGUUCCAGCCACUGGGCUGUGGAGCUGCUGGGCUGUUGUCAUGGAGACGGCUGGGCUGCUGCUGCUGGGAAAGGAAGCAAUUAGCCCAGAAGGAGGGCGGCGGCUGUGGGGCCCAGGCCUGCUGCACCCACCCCUCAGCUCAGCCCCUCCUGGCUCCGGACCUGCAGCCGGGCCCCCACGGGUCCGUUCCUGACCUGGUUUUGGAUGGAAUAUGACUCAGCCCUCAGCAGGACGCCAACCAGAAGUGCUCCGUUCUCUGCAGGCACAAGACACAGGAAAGAGUCACUGCCUGUUGGGAAUGCUCUGAGUGUUUAGGAGAAGAGAACUGACUUCAGGGCCCAGAAUAAAUAUCCUCCUGAAGAGGACUGCAGGAACAGGAGAGCACUCCGGAGAUCUCUAUCUUGGGUUCUAACAAGGACCAAGUGGGAGAUGGCGGCAGUUGUUGGAGAUGGAAACUGUGUUUGCCCAAAGCUGUGUGCUGCGGAGGAGCGGUGGGUUGGAAGCUGCUGAGGACCAGGGCGGUGAAGCGAGGACCAGCCUGAGGGACUCGGGGAGGGAAGCUCGAGAGAAAGAGGAGAUUGCAGUGAGCUGAAGGUAAAGCCAAGGAGAUUACCGAAAGCCGGCAUGGGGGCUGCCUCGCCUCCCGCUGGGUCCAGGUCCCGGCAGCCUGUCCCGCCACCCUCCCCGGCCCUGCAGUGCCCUCCUCUCUCCCAGGCUGGAGGCCUGGUCCCUGCUCCCUCUCCACCCCUUGGACUCCACUUCCUCUUCCACACAGAGAUGUCCUCUGCUCCACCAGGCCUCUUCUGCGCCUUGGUCCCUCAGGCCGAUCCCCACACCCACUGACCCAGUGCCCACUGAGCUACCCCCUGGUCCCAGCCUCACUCCCUCCGGUCCCAGAGACCCCUGCCACAGCCACAGCCCAGGCUCUGGCUGCGAUGCAGCUUGUUCCUCCUCCUCAGUCUGCUGCAUGGCUGCGUGACACCAGCCUCCACCACUUUCUUCCUCUCUCAGCCUGGCCCUUUUGCCACCUGUCAUACACGGCCCUGUGGUGUCCCAAGUGGGUGGGUAGCUGGAGGACUUCUGUGGUCAAGGAUGUCCCUCUCCAUGCCGUGCGCACGCUCCUUCACAAGGCAGUCACAGCGACCUGUUGCAUUCCAAAGACCCAUGCCUGAAGUUCAGUGCUCCGGGCCACUGUCACCACCGACCUCUGUCAGCUCUCUGUAAGCUGCCCCCACCUACACCCCGAGGUGGCAGAGCCCAGCUGCUGGCAGAGCCCCUGCCUGCCCCACCCAGCCGCAGCACGGUGCUGCCGAGCCUCCUCCUCGGGCUCCGCCUGGCCCUCUGCUCCAGGUGGCCCUGUGUGUGUCUCCUCUGGGACCACGGGCGACAAACUGUCUCCCCAGUACCCAUCGUCUCCCCGUCAUGGGCCUUGGUACUUCGAGCUGCAUUUCCACACUGCUGGCCCUGAUGUCCCCUCGUGGCUCAAGCUUGCGUAACCCUCCCUUGCUCCAGCCCGGCCGCUCCUCCCCGCAGCGGGGACAGCUGGGCUGAGCCAUGGGUGCAGGUCACAGAAUUGUGGCCCCACGUCCUACUCUGGCUAACAUUGUGGACAAGUG
rnacentral:lncRNA from 1 species